rnacentral:lncRNA from 1 species
CAAAGCUUUGCAAGUCACAGACAAAAUGUUAAGAAGAUGAUAAAGUACCCUACUAAUUUUAACAUAUUUCUUUAUUCCCUCAGAUAUAUUUUAAUCACAGGAAAGAUCUCUGUGCUUUGGAAAUAAGAAGAUGGAACACAAUUCAUAAGAUAGCUCCUAAAAUUUUAGAAAUCAUUCUGUGAAAGUUUCUGUUUCUCUACUAUCAAAGAAAGACCAAAGAACAACGUUUCCUAGCCUGGAGGAAAAGAAUGGAGCUAUGUGAGGCACUGUGUGAACUGCAGCAGCGAAGCAGCCUUUGGAAAUCAUCUUGGAAGAGACAUUCAGCUUUCCGUUUUCUACACUUCAGGCAAGCACGUCCUUGCUGGCAGGAAGCCCAUCUGGUUCUGUUGUGUAGGAGGUGGCUGCAGGAGGUCAGAAUGCGAGGAGCCCAGGCUGGUGCAGAAAUGUCUUCUGAUCCCCAGGAAGCCGCGGGGCAGCGCAGCCCGGCUCAGCAGAGCUCUCCCAGCCUCUCAUGCAGACAAGUCAAAGCAGCUCUGGGCAGCCGCUGA